AUGCAUAUCAAUAAGCGGAGGAAGAUUCCGUAGAAGCGGAGGAGGACCCCAUAUCAAUCAGCGGAGGAAGCUUCUUAAUGUGCGGAGGAAGUUAAACAAACAAAUAAAUCAGAACUUUCAACAACGGAUCUCUUGGUUCUGGCAUCGAUGAAGAACGCAGCAAAAUGCGAUAAGUAAUGUGAAUUGCAGAAUUCAGUGAAUCAUCGAAUCUUUGAACGCACAUUGCGCCCGCUGGUAUUCCGGCGGGCAUGCCUGUUCGAGCGUCAUUUCAACCCUCAAGCCCCCGGGUUUGGUGUUGGGGAUCGGCUCUGCCUCACGGCGGUGCCGCCCCCGAAAUACAUUGGCGGUCUCGCUGCAGCCUCCAUUGCGUAGUAGCUAACACCUCGCAACUGGAACGCGGCGCGGCCAUGCCGUAAAACCCCAACUUCUGAAUGUUGACCUCGGAUCAGGUAGGAAUACCCGCUGAACUUAAGCAUAUC
rnacentral:rRNA from 1 species